rnacentral:rRNA from 1 species
CCAAUAGCGUAUAUUAAAGUUGCUGCAGUUCAAAAGCUCGUAGUUGAAUUUCGGUACCAAUAUGUUGGUUGUGCCUCGGUACGUACUGGCAUUGUUGGUUUCUCCCUUCUGACGAACUAUGAUGUCAUUAAUUUGUUGUCAUGUGGAAUCAGGACUGUUACUUUGAAAAAAUUAGAGUGUUUAAAGCAGGCGAACGCUUGAAUUCAUUAGCAUGGUAUAAUGAAAUAGGACGUUUGAUUCUAUUUUGUUGUUUUCUAGGAUUGACGUAAUGAUUAAUAGGGAUAGUUGGGGGCAUUAGUAUUCAAUUGUCAGAGGUGAAAUUCUUGGAUUUAUUGAAGACUAACUACUGCGAAAGCAUUUGCCAAGGAUGUUUUCAUUAAUCAAGAACGAAAGUUAGGGGAUCGAAGACGAUCAGAUACCGUCGUAGUCUUAACCAUAAACUAUGCCGACUAGGGAUCGGAUGAUGUUAAUUUUUUAAUGACUCAUUCGGCGCCUUACG